rnacentral:lncRNA from 1 species
GUUGGUUGUGCGUGUUUGUUGGGGAAGCGAGCGAUCAGCAGGCACAUGUUCAGACUACCAACCCGGGGAUGACCUUACAGACAAGAUGCAGGGCUGGGACCGUUACAGGCGCAGACCUUCAGCUAAAAGAGAGGCUGCACAUCACCUCCGAAUAAUUCUGAUUCCUGUGUGUCCUGAGAUGAGACGGUGGGAUGGAGCUUGCCUCUAGCCUAUUCCCCCUGCACCUGGAAGAUAGCCUACUUCUGUGUCUGCUUUUAAGAACUGCUGCCCACGCCAUCAGCAUACCUAAGAGGGUCCUGCACCUUUGCCAAGCAACCAAGUGAAAGAAGCCAUUGCCAAAGUCUGUAUGGAGCUCUGCAACCAGUAGCUCCGCUGCUCUGAUCAUGGGAGGGAGCUCACGAUGGGAACUGAACCACUCUCAACAUGUUGGAGACACAAUGGGCAGAUCCAAAGGUGCUAUGCUGCCAUUAACUGGAGGUCUUACCUUGGCCUGAUUACCCCAACUCAAGAGCCACAGCUAUCGACGCUCAUCAAGAAACUGUGUCCUCAUAAAAUGCUGGGGGACACAAAAUUCAAUGCUCAUUUGAAAAGUUAAAUAUAACUUACUGUAAGCCCUGCCAGUGACUUAUCUGAAUCGUCCCUAGCAUUUUUAUAUAUUAUGUUCAAAACUCAUGCGCAGUUUCCACAACAGGUGCAUAGAUAAACAAUUGUGUAUCUACAAGGAGUGAACCACCCUUGCUGUUGCCUGGAAGGAAGGAAACUUUUGGCAUAAAUAUUCACAAGUCCACCAUUAUGUUUCUCUAUGAACAAGUUACUGUGAAAACAUGGGAAGGAUUGAGACAUAAAUGAAGACUUCACAGCAAUGGGAAAAGAAGAGGCAAGGACAGGCAGAGGUCGCUGACACCAGGAAGGAGGGCUGGGGACAUGUCUUGGGACAUUUGCCCGAAAGCGUAGAGACCUGAGUUCUGAUCCCCACAGAAGGCCACACAUGGUACUCUGUGUCUGUAAUACUAGCAUUUCCACAGUGACCUGAGAGCCAGGAGAGCCCUUGUAAGCUCAUGGGACAGUUCCCCUGGUGGAGGCCAUGGUAAACAAGAGACUGUUUCAGACAGAAGAGGAGAUCAGGACCAACUUCUGAACUUGCUUGUUCUCUGACCUCACACAUGUGCUGUGAUGGUGCUUGUCUGUAACCCAGUGUCAG